GUGGCGGUAGUGAAAGAGGCAGAGGCGGCAGUGCUGGCUGGGACAGCUAUGCGCCAGACGGGUGCGAGAUGGCACCUCGGCCAUUGGGAUGGGACCAUGCUCAAUCGGAGCGCCGCCGGCCGGCGGUUCAUGCCGUCACCGAGGAGGGCCGCGUGGGACCAGUGGACCAGGCUGGCGAGGCAUCCGCAACGAGUAACUGCGGGGGAGCAGUGGAAUCGUUACUAG
rnacentral:lncRNA from 1 species